rnacentral:rRNA from 1 species
GAUGAACGCUGGCGGCGUGCCUAACACAUGCAAGUCGAGCGAGAAGCUUAUGACGGAUUCUUCGGAUGACGGAAUAAGUGGACAGCGGCGGACGGGUGAGUAACGCGUGGGUAACCUGCCCUAUACAGGGGGAUAGCAGUUGGAAACGACUAUUAAUACCCCAUAUUCUCUAUGAACCGCAUGGUUUAUAGAGGAAAGAUUUAUCGGUAUAGGAUGGACCCGCGUCUGAUUAGCUAGUUGGUAAGGUAACGGCUUACCAAGGCGACGAUCAGUAGCCGACCUGAGAGGGUGAUCGGCCACACUGGAACUGAGACACGGUCCAGACUCCUACGGGAGGCAGCAGUGGGGAAUAUUGCACAAUGGGGGAAACCCUGAUGCAGCAACGCCGCGUGAACGAUGAAGGUCUUCGGAUCGUAAAGUUCUUUUCUUGGGGACGAAAAGAUGACAGUACUCAAGGAAUAAGCACCGGCUAACUACGUGCCAGCAGCCGCGGUAAUACGUAGGGUGCAAGCGUUAUCCGGAAUCACUGGGCGUAAAGGGUGCGUAGGCGGUAAAGCAAGUCAGAAGUGAAAGGCAAUAGCUCAACUAUUGUAAGCUUUUGAAACUGUUUUACUUGAAUUCAGGAGAGGUAAGUGGAAUUCCUAGUGUAGCGGUGAAAUGCGUAGAUAUUAGGAGGAACACCGGUGGCGAAGGCGACUUACUGGACUGAAAUUGACGCUGAUGCACGAAAGCGUGGGGAGCGAACAGG